GACGAACGCUGGCGGCGUGCCUAAUACAUGCAAGUAGAACGCUGAAGAGAGGAGCUUGCUCUUCUUGGAUGAGUUGCGAACGGGUGAGUAACGCGUAGGUAACCUGCCUUGUAGCGGGGGAUAACUAUUGGAAACGAUAGCUAAUACCGCAUAACAAUGGAUGACACAUGUCAUUUAUUUGAAAGGGGCAAUUGCUCCACUACAAGAUGGACCUGCGUUGUAUUAGCUAGUAGGUGAGGUAAUGGCUCACCUAGGCGACGAUACAUAGCCGACCUGAGAGGGUGAUCCGCCAACCUGGGACUGAGACACGGCCCAGGCUCCUACGGGAGGCAGCAGUAGGGAAUCUUCGGCAAUGGGGGCAACCCUGACCGAGCAAAGCCGCGUGGGUGAAGAAGGUUUUCGGAUCGUAAAGCUCUGUUGUAAGUCAAGAACGAGUGUGAGAGUGGAAAGUUCACACUGUGACGGUAGCUUACCAGAAAGGGACGGCUAACUACGUG
rnacentral:rRNA from 1 species